UACGAGGGGGGCAAGCGUUGUUCGGAAUUAUUGGGCGUAAAGGGUGCGUAGGCGGUCUGAUAAGUCAUCUGUGAAAUCUAUGGGCUCAACCCAUAGUCUGCAGGCGAAACUGUCGGGCUUGAGUAUGGGAGAGGUGAGUGGAAUUUCCGGUGUAGCGGUGAAAUGCGUAGAUAUCGGAAGGAACACCUGUGGCGAAAGCGACUCACUGGACCAUUACUGACGCUGAUGCACGAAAGCUAGGGGGAGCAAACAGG
rnacentral:rRNA from 1 species